CACAGAGUUAGCCGGUGCUUAUUCUGCGAGUAACGUCCACUAUCCUAGAGUAUUAAUCCAAGUAGCCUCCUCCUCGCUUAAAGUGCUUUACAACCAAAAGGCCUUCUUCACACACGCGGCAUGGCUGGAUCAGGCUUCCGCCCAUUGUCCAAUAUUCCCCACUGCUGCCUCCCGUAGGAGUCUGGGCCGUGUCUCAGUCCCAGUGUGGCGGAUCAUCCUCUCAGACCCGCUACAGAUCGUCGCCUUGGUAGGCCUUUACCCCACCAACUAGCUAAUCCGACUUAGGCUCAUCAUUUAGCGCAAGGUCCGAAGAUCCCCUGCCUUUCCCCCGUAGGGCGUAUGCGGUAUUAGCAUCCCUUUCGGAAUGUUGUCCCCCACUAAAUGGCAGAUUCCUAAGCAUUACUCACCCGUCCGCCGCUAAGAUUAGGUGCAAGCACCCAAUCCCCGCUCGACUUGCAUGUGUUAAGCCUGCCGCCAGCGUUCAAUCUGAGCCAGGAUA
rnacentral:rRNA from 1 species